rnacentral:rRNA from 1 species
GACGAACGCUGGCGGCGUGCUUAACACAUGCAAGUCGAGCGAUGAAGUUUCUUCGGAAAUGGAUUAGCGGCGAACGGGUGAGGAACACGUGAAGAAUCUGCCCUCCACUUUGGGAUAACACAGGGAAACCUGUGCUAAUACCGAAUAUUGAAACAUAAGUGGCAUCACUGAGUUUUGAAAGAAUUUCGGUGGAGGAUGACUUCGCGGCCUAUCAGCUAGUUGGUGAGGUAAUGGCUCACCAAGGCAACGACGGGUAGCCGGCCUGAGAGGGCGACCGGCCACACUGGGACUGAGACACGGCCCAGACUCCUACGGGAGGCAGCGGUGGGGAAUAUUGGGCAAUGGAGGAAACUCUGACCCAGCGACGCCGCGUGCGGGAUGAAGGCCUUCGGGUUGUAAACCGCUUUCAGUAGGGAAGAAGCGAAAGUGACGGUACCUACAAAAGAAGCACCGGCUAACUAUGUGCCAGCAGCCGCCGCAG